rnacentral:rRNA from 1 species
UACGUAGGUGGCAAGCGUUGUCCGGAAUUAUUGGGCGUAAAGCGCGCGCAGGCGGUCCUUUAAGUCUGAUGUGAAAGCCCACGGCUCAACCGUGGAAGGUCAUUGGAAACUGGGGGGACUUGAGUGCAGAAGAGGAAAGUGGAAUUCCAAGUGUAGCGGUGAAAUGCGUAGAGAUUUGGAGGAACACCAGUGGCGAAGGCGGCAUCCUGGACCGACAUUGACGCUGAACGGCGAAAGCUAGGGGAGCAAACGGG